rnacentral:rRNA from 1 species
ACAAGCGGUGGAGUAUGUGGUUUAAUUCGAUGCAACGCGAAGAACCUUGCCUGGUCUUGACAUCCCGGAGACCCUUAGGAAACUAGGGGGUGCUUCCAUCUGGAAGAAUCUGGAGACAGGUGCUGCAUGGCUGUCGUCAGCUCGUGUCGUGAGAUGUUGGGUUAAGUCCCGCAACGAGCGCAACCCUUGCCUUUAGUUGCCAGCAGUUCGGCUGGGCACUCUAAAGGGACUGCCGGUGUUAAACCGGAGGAAGGUGGGGAUGACGUCAAGUCCUCAUGGCCUUUAUGACCAGGGCUACACACGUACUACAAUGGCCGAUACAAAGGGCAGCGACACUGCGAGGUGAAGCCAAUCCCGUAAAAUCGGUCUCAGUCCGGAUUGGAGUCUGCAACUCGACUCCAUGAAGUUGGAAUCGCUAGUAAUCGUGGAUCAGCAUGCCACGGUGAAUACGUUCCCGGGCCUU